AUACGGAGGGUGCAAGCGUUAUUCGGAAUCACUGGGCGUAAAGGACGCGUAGGCGGGUUGGCAAGUCAGAUGUGAAAUCCUACAGCUUAACUGUAGAACUGCAUUUGAAACUGCUAACCUAGAGUAUGGGAGGGGGAGAUGGAAUUAGUGGUGUAGGGGUAAAAUCCGUAGAUAUCACUAGGAAUACCGAAAGCGAAGGCGAUCUGCUGGGACAUUACUGACGCUGAGGCGUGAAAGCGUGGGGAGCAAACAGGAUUAGAAGCCCCAGUAGUCC
rnacentral:rRNA from 1 species